CACAAUUCCAUCAAGAACAAAUUAGGGAAAUUUCAGUUCCCUCGCAAUUCAUUUUGUUUCCCUCCCCGAUCAUCUUCUGUGAAAAUUUCCCGCUUCCUACAAGUUCAAUGAUUCCAAUUCCUUGUUCAUAAAAGACCAUCAAGUUCAGAAAUUCCUCUUCUGUGUUCACCUACAACUGCGAUUAGGGUUUUUCACUCUUCUACUAAACUCUAUCUACAAUUGAUCUAAGUCUCCGAUUCAUCUGGGGUAUGUGAUUUACCAUGUAGUGUUCACCUUGCUUGAGGGGAUUUGACAUCUGCAAGAGCUUUCACAUUGCUUUCUCUGUUUGCUUUCUCUGUUUGCUGUUCUUCGAUUUCCCCUGUUCAUACUUCCAAAUAUUAUAACUCAGAAUACUCGUGAAUCGACAAUUUGUCGCUCAUUCGAAACUACAAAGUUUCUGAAGCUACAACUACUUCUAAUGUUGAGAUUAUACCAGGUUCAGUAUAUUUACUCUAGGAAUGAAGAAUGUUGAGGUCCAUAUUUAUUUCUUUUGUAUUAGGCAAUUUCUCUUCUUCUGUCCAAAUCUUUGUGCAGAUCCCAAACUGGCUUGGAGACAAAAGACAAUCUGUUCAGCUUACCCAAGGCAUAUAUGGCAUCUCAAAAAAGAAAUUUAAACAAUUUAGGGGAGACAACACAACUGUUACGAUAAGCACCUUUAGAAGAAAGUCGUAAACAGUCUGUUUCAUUAUUGAAGGUGACGGGCCUAAGCGUGUAUGGUUGGAAGCGAUGAGAACCCCGACAAUUGUUUUCUACCUGUCGUACAUAUUCUUCAUCAGGAUCAAUGGGCAAAUGUUGUAUGCAAAGGAUCUAAAAUCCAAACUGGAAACAGUCUCUGGUUUGCUGCUUGAUUUGAAAGCUAAAUUAACUUCUUAUAUGGAAUCAAAGUUAAAGCAAGAAAUUGAUGAAGAGCUUUCAGAAGGAGGCCUUGAAGAACCAGGAAAGAAGACACACGAAAGUUCAUUGUUUUGGAAUAAGAGAAAAUAAGAUGAUUUUAUACUGUGUAUAGUCUUUAGUUAUACUAAAUCUCAGCUUUUGUAAGAAUUUGUUUUGAGAUUCGAUUGAAUGAAAGAAAAAAAAUCCAAGUUUGUGAUUUGAAGCACUUUGAAUGGCAUGGUGUGUGCUUAUUUGAAACUCAUUAUUUUGAUUGAUACUAG